rnacentral:rRNA from 1 species
GACGAACGCUGGCGGCGUGCUUAACACAUGCAAGUCGAACGGAAAGGCCCUGCUUUUGUGGGGUGCUCGAGUGGCGAACGGGUGAGUAACACGUGAGUAACCUGCCCUUGACUUUGGGAUAACUUCAGGAAACUGGGGCUAAUACCGGAUAUGAGCUCCUGCUGCAUGGUGGUGGUUGGAAAGUUUCGGCGGUUGGGGAUGGACUCGCGGCUUAUCAGCUUGUUGGUGGGGUAGUGGCUUACCAAGGCUUUGACGGGUAGCCGGCCUGAGAGGGUGACCGGCCACAUUGGGACUGCGAUACGGCCCAGACUCCUACGGGAGGCAGCAGUGGGGAAUAUUGCACAAUGGGCGGAAGCCUGAUGCAGAGACGCCGCGUGCGGGAUGACGGCCUUCGGGUUGUAAACCGCUUUCGCCUGUGACGAAGCGUGAGUGACGGUAAUGGGUAAAGAAGCACCGGCUAACUACGUG